rnacentral:rRNA from 1 species
UACGAGGGGGCAAGCGUUGUCCGGAAUUAUUGGGCGUAAAGAGCUCGUAGGCGGUGUGUCGCGUCGGCCGUGAAAACUUGGGGCUUAACUCUGAGCGUGCGGUCGAUACGGGCAUCACUUGAGUUCGGCAGGGGAGACUGGAAUUCCUGGUGUAGCGGUGAAAUGCGCAGAUAUCAGGAGGGAACACCGGUGGCGGAAGGCGGGUCUCUGGGCCGAUACUGACGUGGAGGAGCGAAAGCAUCGGGGAGCGAACAGG